rnacentral:lncRNA from 1 species
UACGCUGCUGGAGUGACCCAUGUUCAGGCCACUCCAACACGUCCCCAAAUAAUAUUUUACAAGCAUGAGCCAUCUGUGUGUGAUGAGAUCAGACGUAAGGAAGUCUGUAGUUGCCAAGAGAAUUUGAGUGAGCAGAAUUGUACAACUACAAAGAAAUCCUACAGCAUCAACAAAGGAAGCUAAGAGAAAUAUUCCCACUGAGUUCUUUCGGACUAUUUUAAUUGGACCAUUUGUUCUUGCAAUAUUUUAAGGGUUCAUUCUUCCUUUUGCACAUCUAAUUAGUACUGACAGUAUUGCAAGCUCCGUGUUCAUUAUGAGUAGCCUCCAAAACGGAUAGUCCCAUAUUUUGGAAAAGAACAAGGUAUUAUUUCUGCUGUGCCUCCCUGUGCACCUGUAGGGGAAGCCAGCCUUUUUGACCUGGCUGCAUCACAACCUCCUCCCCCUCACAAACCCCCACAAAAUUUCCCCGGACAAAACUCCCCCAGAAUUCUCUGUCAGCUUCUGACCACAAAGUACUUGCUGCGUGUGGACCUCAGAGGAUUCUCUCAUAAGCUGCAGUUAAUAAACUUUUCAGACUCGGAUAAUCUCCUUCAGAAAAAGGGUUUCUUCACGUUUCUGGACAACUACAGGAGAAGCAGUUUAAGGGCAAAAAAGCAGAAAAUAAUGAACGAUAAGACUGAGAGAUCUGAGCAUAUUGAGGGAGAAGAGACACAAACCAGAUUUUGCAGCAUCACAGCGCACACUUUAUACAAUGCUAUGCAACAGGGAACCCUUGCUGGUGAUGAGGAUGGAUAA